rnacentral:rRNA from 1 species
UGUCGUUUUCUCGAAAAUCAAUUAAAAAUGGCUUGAUUUUGUGUUGUAUUGACCUUAAAAGCUUUCUUCACCUUUUUCAUGUCUUUUUUAAUGCACUUUUCGUUUAACAAGUCAACAUCAGUUUCUUUUGUUGUAAAAAGGUCAUUGGAAGGUGGCUUUCUUUUCGGAGAAAGUGUUUAUAGCCUUUGACUUCUGCAAUCGGAGAGACUGAGGUCUGCAGUGUAGAUCCUUCUGGAUUAGAUUCAUUUGUGCUAAGUUACAACCGUUUAUAGACAACUUGUUGACUAUAUUCGAUCCUGUAGCUUACUCGCUUAUGUAAUUUUACCUAC